GCAGCGAAUGCAAUGGGCACUACAUGUGUCGCGGGUUCGAGCCCCGCCCCGGCAACGGGUAGCUCAGUUGGUAGAGCAAUUCAUGUCCACAUCCCUUGUCGCUGCACC
rnacentral:Y_RNA from 1 species